rnacentral:lncRNA from 1 species
CAAAUCCAUUACAGUGAUUUUAGUUUUGGGAAACCUACAGUAAGUUGUAGAACACUGUUAAACAGGGUUUUUUUUCUACACCAUUCUUAAAUGUUUGUAAGAUCUGCUGAAUUUGAGUUACUAAAAGCAACAUAAACUUGACUUUGAGAGAUGCAAUAAGCAUUCUUGCUUUCUCCUUUUUUUUUUUUUAUUAUUUUAGAAUUACUAUGUGAAUUGUCACCAGUCUUGAAGAGAAAAGAAGAGACAACUGACUCAACAGAGAAAUCCAAACACCCCUCUGUGAAGUGUUUCUGGAGUUUAUCCCCUGCUGAAAGUCUCCUCCAAGCAUUAUUAAGCAAUCAACAGGCCCUCGCAACGUCUUCCCAUUUUAAGCUACCUAAUUUUCUGUUCACAGCUGCAUGUGAAACUUUCUUCUGUGUGCUGGUUUCUUCACAGUUUUCCUGUAAACUGUCAUAGUAGCAGAAGUCUGCAAACGAUGCUUCAGUUGUGGGCAGGGUAUUGAAGGUCAUAGUAAUGAUGAGAGUGAAGAGUCACAAUUCGUUAUUCAUACGAACUGAUACUGUGGAUCUGGUUUUAAAAAAGAAAAAAAAAAAAAAAAGUAGGCUGUGAUUACACUGCAUUGCAGAAUAACAUCCACUCUUUUCUCAUGGUAACACCUGUCCUAAGGAUAAGAGAUAUCACAGCCUGCAAGUCUCCCUUUGCUAAUGACUGCUGAUCAUUACAAAAUGUGUGGCGAUUAUCUUGCAGUUAGGAACUACAAUUGCAGAGCAGAAUGCCAAAUUCUCUCUAUUUAAGAGCUGUCAGGUAAAGGAACUGUUCUGGAGGUGAAAGGAUUAGUGUUCUACCUAUAGAAGUAGGCCUCAGUUUACUACCAUAAAUUAAGCAGCCAGUUAAGAUUGAACAGUUUUCCCUUCUUUUGUUUUCAUACUGAAAAAAAGUUAGUACUAUCACUGUUCCUUUGUCUGAGUUUUUUGUCAUGCACUGUAAUAGUGACUUCUGAAGACAAACUGGCACUUCACUUUUUAGCAGAUGGUGGCUGUUUUGAACAGUCAUACCAAGCUUUAGUAGCAGCUAUCCUAAUUCUGUGCUUGAGAGCUUUCAUGAAAAUCAGCAAAAAAGCUGCCAGUGUACUUUGGAGUAAUUAAGAAGCUAGAAGUUAGUGCUAAAUCUCUGUCCUUUUCAGGUAAAACUCCAUAUUAACUUCAAAGACUGUGCCAGAGUAAAGUAUUUAGGAUCAAACUUUUAGCAAAUAAAGAUUUGUAUAUUUAAAUCUCUUUUGGUAUC